rfam:Myotis lucifugus cont2.2950, whole genome shotgun sequence.
AGGCCUGGAGAGAGAAGUAGGGUCUGAUCCACAGCCUUCAUAGCAGCUGUUGAUCAGCCCUUGCCUCUCUUUUUCUCUGGG